rnacentral:rRNA from 1 species
UGAGGAACAUGACCUUCGGCGGGGGAUAGCCGGCCCAACGGCCGGGUAAUACCGCGUACGACCACAUGGGGACAUCCCCGAGUGGUGAAAGUAGCAAUGCGCCGAUGGAGUGCCUCGCGGCCUAUCAGCUAGUUGGUGAGGUAACGGCUCACCAAGGCGACGACGGGUAGCUGGUCUGAGAGGAUGGCCAGCCACAUUGGGACUGAGACACGGCCCAGACUCCUACGGGAGCAG